UUCUCUUUCACUAACUACUAACUCAUUGUCCUGGACAGACAGCUGAGGUGUGUGUGCCCAGGACAGCGUGCUUGAACCUUAAUUGGAUAUAAGCACGAUCAUAAGUUGAAAUGAAAAUGAAAUGAUAGCCAAAACCUGCUAUAUCAGCUCACAGCAGUUGUUGAACACUGACAAUAAAUUUUGUAUCAAAGUUUGUACGUGUGUAUUGUUGUAAUUGAUGAUGUAGAAACUUUUUGUCGCUGCAUUUUACAGAAAUCUAGUUGAAGUUGAAUACUAAUGUAUACUUAUUGAUUUGUUGACAUUAUGCGAUGACCAGUGUCAGAAUAACAUUUAUGAAACGUACGUCAGUGGAGGAAAAACAUUGUGAGCUAGCAUUUUUUAAAAAAAUAUUUUCCGUUUUAAUCACUAACCCAUCGGGCUACUGGUUUUGCAUUUGACACUAGCCCCGUGUUAAAACCCACUAGCCCCGGGCGUCGGGCUAGCCGAUUUGUCGAACUCUGGACUAAAAACAUGUGUCAAUCCAUUACCAUAGUAAAACCAAUCAUAAUUGUGUUACAUGUUACGAUUUUGAAAAUAAAUAUAGCUUUAUUCAAAGGUCUUCUCAAAACAAAUUUUAGAUGUAAAUAUGUAACACAAAAUUGUGUGCUAUCUAAUCUGGUAACUGUAGAAUUGUCCACGAGUAUUUAUCUCAUUUAAUUAAGCGAAACACAUAAAUAACCAGUAUUGUUUCAUGUAUCAAUAGCAUAAAAAUAGAAACAAUGAUUUAAAAAAAUAACAACAAUAAUAUCCCCACCCAAAAAACAAACAAUCCAAAACCCCAACAAUCAUGAAUGACAUUGAUAAGAACUAUAAUAUAACUUUUAAACAUGUACAUGUAAUAAGAUUAAAGUGCUUAAAAAUUAAAUUUAUAUACAUGCAUUUAACUGUCUGCACAUGAUGCCUUGUAUGCAACAUUUAAGUAGGCCUACAGGUACAUAUGAUAACAUUUACGUAACAAUAUUACCCCGUAAACUUAACAAUAUUAAUGUAACUAGGUUUCUAAUGCAUCUUACCAUUGCAUAACAUACAAGCAGAAGAGGCAAAAUAAUAAUGAUCGCAUUUUUCUUGUUUCAUGUAUAGCAUGCAUUAUUUGCAAGUAGGGGACAACCAUUACUGACACCCACCCUCAAACACACCCACACCCUCACACACAUACCCACACCCUCACACACGCUAUGCAAUACUGUCACCCGUUGACAAUAAUGGGUUUUACUGCAACCAUUACUGUCACCAGUUAAUCUCUACGUGAGUGAACGACAACCACUGUUGUAACACGUUAACAAUAAAUGUAACUGAAAACACCAUUGUCAGCGGGUUGUAAUAGUCGUUGCUUUUCAUAGAUCUAGGUUAUAAUGUUACACCCAUAUGGUCCGAAGGGGAUCGGUCUUAAAGCAACCGUGCAUCGGGCAAGCACUUUACCACUAGGCCGAGUCGAAUUUUCAAUGAAUAUAACUUUCUUAAUGUCUUCUCAAAGUAAACUUGUAAAGAUGUAAAUAUGGACCGCUAAAAAUGUAAUCCAUUAACCGUAAAAUUGUAUUUAAUUAAUCAAAACACACAAAUAACCAGUGCACCGUUCCACGUAAUAAUUGUAGCUAAAGUUAAUUGUAGUGACUUAAGGUUAGUUUUACAACUGGCAACGUAAACUUUACAGCCGUUCCACAAAGCAACUUUAUGGCAGACGUAAGUGCUCCUUUAAUGCUUAAAAUCUUCUUUGCGAAGUAGUGCGAAUUAUUUAAAUAAUAAAUUGGUUGCCGACUUUUUUGGAAUAUCUUGGAUGUAUUCAUUGGUAUCGGACAUCCAUGAAGUAACUGUCAGUUUAUUUGCCAAGUGAUAAUUGGCGAAUGCAUAAGACAUGAGAGUUAUCCCCCAUAUUUUCGCAUGACGGUCGUAUAGCCUAGACUGUUUUUUUUGUGGGUGUUUUUACCGAACGCCAGGUUUCAUAAAAGUUAUUUGGUAUAGACAAUAACCUUUUUACACAAAAUGUUUGUAUUAUUCUUAGUAAAUGAUCAAAUCAUCAUUUAACUGCCAUUUAACAUCUACGUUAUUGGCUUACAAACUGUCUCGAACCUAAUGUAAUUUGUCACAGAAAUGUACGACAAUUGUAAGCUACGCCGCUUCGUGGAACGGGCUGGCGAUCGUAGAAAAAAGUUUGGGUCGCGAUGGUAGUGCUAAGAUCGCUUCGUGUAACGGGCUGGCGAUCGUAGACAAACAUAAAGGUCGCGAUGGUAGGUAUUUACGGCGAUAGUAGUGCUAAGAUCGCUUCGUGUAACGGACUGGCGAUCGUAGAAAAAAAGUUAAGGUCACGAUGGUAGGUAUUUACGGCGAUAGUAGUGCUAAGUUCGCUUCGUGGAACGGGCUGGCGACCGUAGACAAACAUUAAGGUCGCGAUGGUAGGUAUUUACGGCGAUAGUAGUGCCAAGAUCGCUUCGUGGAACGGGAUGGCGACCGUAGACAAACAUUAAGGUCGCGAUGGUAGGUAUUUACGGCGAUAGUAGUGCCAAGAUCGCUUCGUGGAACGGGCUGGCGACCGUAGACAAACAUUAAGGUCGCGAUGGUAGGUAUUUACGGCGAUAGUAGUGCCAAGAUCGCUUCGUGAAACGAGCUGGCGACCGUACACAAACAUUAAGGUCGCGAUGGUAGUGCUAAGAUCGCUUCGUGGAACGGGCUGGCGACCGUACACAAACAUUAAGGUCGCGAUGGUAGGUAUUUACGGCGAUAGUAGUGCUAAGAUCGCUUCGUGAAACGGGCUGGCGACCGUAGACAAACAUUAAGGUCGCGAUGGUAGUGCUAAGAUCGCUUCGUGGAACGGGCUGGCGAUCGUACACAAACAUUAAGGUCGCGAUGGUAGUGCUAAGAUCGCUUCGUGGAACGGGCUGGCGACCGUACACAAACAUU